rnacentral:ncRNA from 1 species
UUAUGCUACUUGGUGGUUAAGAGGCAUCUGAAAGGAUUAGCCUAGUGAGCGUUGAGGCUUGCAACACUGUCAAAUUGCGGGGACGUCCUAAAGCUUUUGCGACCAAGCAUUUGUGGAAACACAAGUGUGGCCGAGUUAAUAGCCCUGGGUAUGGUAAUACUGCAAAAGAUGUUACAAUGGAUAAUCCGCAGCCAAGUCCUAAGGGCCUUGUAAUAUAUCUAUAUUUAUUACUAGGUCUAUGGAUGCAGUUCACAGACUAAAUGGCAGUGGGUGUGUAUUGAGUUGGGAAUUAAUCUGACUCUACAUGCUUAAGAUAUAGUCGAUCCUGCCGUGAAAGCGGACU